AUGGUUGCUAUUUGUUUUUCCUCAGCCACAGAAGCCAGCUAGUGAGAGCAGCCACUGAUCUUCAGGCUCUCCAAAAGCCCCCAAGAAUCGUCAUGCACCCAGUGGCCCCAGUCCCAUUGAUCAAAGCAAGUGAAUGUGUCCUAUUGGAGCAGCAGUCAUCAGACUGAGGGGUGGCGGAGAAGAACCAGGGUCCCAGGGUCUGCAGCAGCAAAGUGACCAGAUCCUGCCCCACCUUUGGCAACGUGAGGAGAUGCAGGGCAAGAUGGCCCUGGGCCAGCUUGUCAGGGGCUGCAGAGACCCAGCAGCACCCAGAAGUCACUGAGCAGCAGAAUCAGCAGUCAGCCCCAGCUGAGCGUCCUCACUCUGCGUUGGCAAGGCAGCAUUUUUAAUGAAACUUUUGCCAGUGCCUUGGAAGAGCUCACUUGGCUGCAUUGGCAGCUGAAGGAGCAGAAGCAGCAGUGCCAGUGCCCGGCUUGCCCGAUCGAUAGCCCUGACUGACAGUCUGAGACGGGGACCCUGGCUCCCGGAGGGAGGAUGACUGUGUGUCUGGGGAGAGCCACCAAGCCGGAGAAGAGGCCAUGUCAGAGUGCAGAUCGAUCCACGGAUGACACUUUGGCAUCCUGUGACUGCUCCGUUUGGCAAUAUUUCCCCCUGUGGUUUCAGUAUCCUUGGAUAUUUGCUGUCUGCAUCAAUUGUUUCAUUUCAACUCUAAUGAAAUGCGGAUUUCCAAGUUCCUUGAUCCCUUCUUCAGUCUUUGGCUGGGAUUUUCCAUAAGGAAGACUUUCCCAUCCUCAGCGUUCAUUGGUGAUGCUGAGAUGCAGUUCCUCAAGGAAAGACAGACUCUUUCCCCCCUUUUCGUCAAUCACCACCUUUCAUGGGAGGGAAAGGGGCUAAAAAGAUGUAUUAUGUACUUGGACCAUUUCCCCAUGAGCCACAUGAUCAUUAUGUACUACAAACAUGUACUAAUAAAAAAGAAAAUUUGAACAAAAAUCACUUUUCAGAAUAAAGAGUUGGUGCCAUCAUAA